rnacentral:rRNA from 1 species
AUAGCGUAUAUUAAAGUUGUUGCAGUUAAAAAGCUCGUAGUUGAACCUUGGGCCUGGCUGGCCGGUCCGCCUCACCGCGUGCACUGGUCCGGCCGGGCCUUUCCUUCUGGGGAGCCGCAUGCCCUUCACUGGGUGUGUCGGGGAACCAGGACUUUUACUUUGAAAAAAUUAGAGUGUUCAAAGCAGGCUUAUGCUCGAAUACAUUAGCAUGGAAUAAUAAAAUAGGACGUGCGGUUCUAUUUUGUUGGUUUCUAGAGUCGCCGUAAUGAUUAAUAGGGAUAGUUGGGGGCAUUAGUAUUCAGUUGCUAGAGGUGAAAUUCUUGGAUUUACUGAAGACUAACUACUG